ACCACCUGCAAGAGAGAGAGAGGGAGGGAGAAACGCAAACGUCUUCACGACAAGGUCCAACGAUAGCGCUGAGCUGAUCAUUCGGCCUUGGCGGAGCUUUGCGCACUUAAGAGGAGCAUUCUAGUUUGAUAAAUUAUGAAUUAAACCAGACGGCACACAGAGAGAAAGCACAUCUCCACCAGGGCUAACGCUCUAUUUCACCAUGUGACCAACAAAUUCAUGGUUCUAUCAAGAUCUACUCCAAAAAUGUAAUGGGUUAUUCUUUGGGUCACGCCCCUCCCCUCCAAAAAAUCUUUCAUUGAAAUCGGUUCAGUAGUUUUUGCGUUUAACGGACCAACAUGUUUUUGAUAAACUUCCUCUUUGCAUCAUCUCGUCCAGUCGAGUCAAGAAUCAUUCGACAAACAGAAGGACCACACUCUGACUGGCACACAGUUAGAACCCAUGGCAGCUCUCUAUGUACACAUGAAGAGUCUCUGAAGAAGUGGGUUUGUUGUCUGUUUCUCUUCAUUAUGAGAACAAUGACGUCGCCGGCCGACGGGUCCAGAAGGUCUGCCAUCCGAGGAGAGGGAAAGGUCAGCGAUGACGCACCAGUCCCAGCAGGUCUCAGGUAGAGCACAUGAGAGAGAGAGCUCAUCAGCGUGUUACAGCACAAAGCAGAGCCGCGGGGGGUUAAAAAGGGAGGAGGCGUCCGGGGCAGCACCAAGCUCAUGUGUGAGACUAUGAUGAGAGAGCGACCUCCUCUUAUCUCCGGUCCAGAUGGAAUCCUGUUAUCCUCGGCCCCUUGAAUCAAGCCCGACAUUGUCUUGUAGCUUUCCCGACAUUUAGAAAUCUCUUUCAUGUUUGUCGGCUCAAUUUGGCCGGCAAUUCUGGUCUAUGAUGAUAUUUUUUCUUUGAAACCCCCAUAACAAGAUUGUUGCUGCACCUGCCGCCGUCGUCUCUAUUUCUGUGCACUGAAUACGUGCUUCUGUCUGUGGCACAAAAGAAAAUGGAAAUGUAGAUCUAAGGCAGGCAUCUAUUCUCCACGUUUUUUAUUUUGAAGGAUACAUUUUUCAUCCCACUUCAUCACGUUCAAUUUAUGGGGAAAAUAUGAAACUUUUUUUUCCAUCCUAAACCUCUUCUGUCACUCAAUACCUCCGCAGCCGAAAACUUUUAGCCAUGUCACAAUAAUCCGACAUUCUAACCAGCAGUAUUUUUGACCUUUAUCAAUAAAUUUUGUUCUUUGACGUUAAUCCCAGAUCUGUCUGGAUAGACGCUUGUCAUGACAGCUGUGAUGACCUUAAUCCCUGUUGAACCCAACCCUCUGCUCUACAGCACACUGUGUCGUCUGGCUGAAGAUGACAAACUGCCAUAGAGCAGGUGCCGCUCGCUGCUUCUCUCUUUUUCUCGUGUGCAGCUGAAGUGUUUAUUGCUGCAUCACAACAUAACAUGGUACUGUUUCUAUGCGUGUGGUUUCUUAGAUUAUAAAGAUUUCUAUAGAAUGGAAAGAAAAAUAGGAGUUUCCUUCAUUAACCUUACUCUGCACGUCGUUGUUUGUCACACGAAUGAUCAAAUUGCUUUUACUUGUUUGUGCGACAGGUUUCUCCAAACAGCAGCUUUCUAAACAUGGAUCCUUAUUGCUGCUGUAGACCAGAGUCCCUGCUGCUCAGAUAUGACCAGGAGAAACUAAAUAGUGUGUGUGUGUGGGUGUGUGUGUGUUCUCACAUGAAGGGGUCGCCGGCCAUGCGGGGCCAGGCCACGUAGCAGAGCGUCCUGUGAGGCAGAGCUCGGGUGGUGGAGAAGUAGCAGAGGGGGAAGGCGAGGACCACGGCCAGACUCCAGACACAGACGAUGACUCCCAUGGUGGCCUUCGCCGACAGACGCUGUUUCAGAGGGUGGAUUAUGGCCAUGUACCUGCAAGGG